rnacentral:lncRNA from 1 species
GCAGGAGCCGAGGGGACAUCGCCGGGAGACGCUGGAGCGGAGAACACUACCGCGUCGUGUUCCCCUUGGAAACUUAACGAACGAGCACUUCGGUAAUUAACUCACUCCACUAAAAAGGUUUUACUCGAGCACACGUAAACGGCGCGUACCGGAGGCGGCACCGAAGAGCGAUCGCUGCGGCAAUGCUCGGACUCUGAGACGGGAGCGAAGUCCCAUAUUGCUCUCCCACCAGCGAACCCGGAGCAGGCAACAAAGCUACAGGGAAGGUAAAAUUCAAAAGCAUUUCGUUUCGCCGAGCGGCUCGCAGCCUGCACUUCAGCCGAGGGGGAGGAAACCCACCUCCAGCGGCGCGGAGCAGCAGCCAGCCUAAUUGCCGGAUUCCAGGCACGGAGCCCAGCGAGGGCAACAGGGAAAGCCCACAACUGCUGCCCGAGUCACUGUCCCGGUCACCAUCCCGAGUCACCGACCGAGAUGGGAGAGCAGCCGCCAGCAGUCUCCAGGGCGCUUCUCCCUAAAAAGCAGAGGAGACUCUAAAACCGAAACAUCACGCAGCAGUUUUGUACUGGGUUUGGCAGAAAUCGCCCCGAAAUAAGGGAGAAGACCCAAGCGGGUGCUUCCCGGCCGCGCUCUGCCCUGCUCGGAAGGGCAGAAAUCUCUUUUUCCCGGCGCAGUCCCCGGGGUGAGGCGCUGGGGCCGGGAGGAUGCUCUCCCCGAAGGAAAUGGGCGCUGGGAACUCGCUCGGUUCCAGCAAGAAAGGCCCAAAAGAACCAGAUCAAGAGAAGGAGGGGAUUGUGGCUGCAGCAGGGAGAAGCGCCUGGACAGCUCCAAAGGCGUUUUCCUUCUCAGGAACGCGGAGGGGGGAAUGCAGAGCUCUCCCAGCCCCGGGCAGCCGCGGGGAUGCCGAGGUCCCGCUAUGGGAACGGGGAGAUUGGCACCAGCUCGAGCAAGGAAACCCUAAUAGGCUAUUUCUGGACUACUGGCUCUUAACAAAUCUAUAGCACCUGAAGUGUUAGCACUCAAUUAGUGACAAGGUUUUAAAACCCAGCGUUUACCGGCGAGGUAUAAACAGAGUCCUGGGAGAUAGCCGGGAAUUAGGGCGGGAGGGGGCUCUGGACACCUUACCCGGGUGGCAGUCAGAGGAAAACUUUUCCAAAAGGCCCCUUUUCUCUCUCUCUAAACAGUCCGAGGUGUCGAAAGCUCAGGGGGGAGGGAGGAUAUGCUCUGCGGAGCUUCUUGAGGUUUUUUUGUUUGCUUGUUUGCCUGUUUGUUUUCAGUGAGAAAACUCUCUAAAUAUAUACGUGAAACGAAUUUCAUUUAGCAGUCCUGGAGAGAAGCGACGGGGCGGUGUGGAAGUCAGCCCCAGCCUGACUUCGUGGGCGCUGGGGUCGGAUCGGGG